rnacentral:rRNA from 1 species
UACAGAGGGUGCGAGUGUUAAUCGGAAUUACUGGGCGUAAAGCGCGCGUAGGCGGUUUGUUAAGUCGGAUGUGAAAUCCCCGGGCUCAACCUGGGAACUGCAUUCGAUACUGGCAAGCUAGAGUAUGGGAGAGGAUGGUAGAAUUCCAGGUGUAGCGGUGAAAUGCGUAGAGAUCUGGAGGAACACCGAUGGCGAAGGCAGCCAUCUGGCCUAAUACUGACGCUGAGGUGCGAAAGCAUGGGGAGCAAACAGG